rnacentral:rRNA from 1 species
UACAGAGGGGGCAAGCGUUGUUCGGAAUUACUGGGCGUAAAGGGCGCGUAGGCGGCCCUCUAAGUCAGACGUGAAAUCCCCGGGCUUAACCCGGGAACUGCGUCUGAUACUGGGGGGCAUGAAUCCGGGAGAGGGAUGUGGAAUUCCAGGUGUAGCGGUGAAAUGCGUAGAUAUCUGGAGGAACACCGGUGGCGAAGGCGGCAUCCUGGACCGGUAUUGACGCUGAGGCGCGAAAGCCAGGGGAGCAAACGGG